CGUCUAGGUUUUGCGUUGUGCAAGCUGAUCAUUUUGCUUUACAUUCUAAGUCCUUCAUUUGCAUUCCACUUAUAGGUUUCGCUGGUUAUGAAGUUAUGGAAUUCACAUGAGCUAAUUGAUUCUCUGUUUCUCGCUUUUACUUUAUGUUUUCGUGGCUUUGUCUUCUUGUUGAAAUGAGCUCUUAAAUUGCUAAACUGUAACUUACAGCAAGUGUAAUGUAAUGAAAGCUUGUCUCAAUAGACGUUCCUAAUAGCCAGCCUCCUGGUCAAUAUGAAG